GUUUACGGCCAUACCACCUAGAACAAGCCCGAUUCCGUCUGAUCUCGGAAGCUAGGCAGGCUCGGGCUUGGUUAGUACUUGGAUAGGAGACCACCUAGGAAGACUAGAUGCUGUAGGCA
rnacentral:rRNA from 1 species